UCUUCUCCCGGACACCACAGGUGCUCAUGGAAAGUCCCGUGGAUCAUGUGAUCGGAGCCUAGGACCCCAUUUCGCUACAUGAUGUACACAGAACUACAAAAAUGGCCCCUGCUUCACAAAGCUUCCAGUCCAAGCAUAAGACAAAAGAGAGAUGUGCUCAAGGAAAGAAAGACCUCCUGAAACCUGGCUGAGAACCACUGAUCGAGCAGGCGGACUGACAGCGUGCUGUCUCAUGAAAGGAGGGUCCCAGCCAGCCUGGCUGAAAAGCUCUACAAGGAUUUUGGGUGAGCAGUACUCCACCAGA